rnacentral:rRNA from 1 species
UGGGGAAUUUUGGACAAUGGGGGAAACCCUGAUCCAGCCAUCCCGCGUGUGCGAUGAAGGCCUUCGGGUUGUAAAGCACUUUUGGCAGGAAAGAAACGUCAUGGGUUAAUACCCCGUGAAACUGACGGUACCUGCAGAAUAAGCACCGGCUAACUACGUGCCAGCAGCCGCGGUAAUACGUAGGGUGCAAGCGUUAAUCGGAAUUACUGGGCGUAAAGCGUGCGCAGGCGGUACGGAAAGAAAGAUGUGAAAUCCCAGAGCUCAACUUUGGAACUGCAUUUUUAACUACCGGGCUAGAGUGUGUCAGAGGGGGGUGGAAUUCCGCGUGUAGCAGUGACAUGCGUAGAUAUGCGGAGGAACACCGAUGGCGAAGGCAGCCUCCUGGGAUAACACUGACGCUCAUGCACGAAAGCGUGGGGAGCAAACAGG